UCCUAGCAGGUCCUGGGCAAAGAGCGGGAGGUGAUGGAGCGCAAAGAGCGCCUGCUCUUCCGAUCCCGACUCUCACCCGGGGAGGGAGCAAUUCAAGUUUCCAUUACCUCAGGCGUAUGAAUGAUGCAAACGUGUAACCUCGUCUGAAAGUGUACGUAUUGAAACUUCUUUCCCCCUAAAUAGUUUUGCUACUGCGGAACGGUACAUUUUCGGUUUUAUUGUUUGAGCACCUUCACCACGUGCCCUCUUGCCGGCGGCGGACAAGUUGCUUUUCCCGAGCAAACGGUAAAAGAUCGCUUUACUCUCUGAGCUUCCCACGCCCACCUCUUCCCGCCCCUUCUAGCACCUGGGAAUGUCCCACCCCUCCCUUGGGCGGGGCCGACACCGAGGAACCCGGAUUCUCAGCCCCCGCCCCCGCCCCCGCCGCGACCCCGUACCUCCAGCCUGCGCACGCUCCGGGGAAUAGGAGGAGACGCCGACGUUGGGAGGGGCGGCCUACCCACGGCCUCGAGGGCGCAGCUUUACGGCAGGGAUGGGCCGGGGGGCGCACUCGUUAUCGCGCGGCCCCGCGCGAGGACCGGAGCCGACUUUGUUUUUCCCGCCGGCGCGCGGUCUCCGCCAGGAGGACACAGUGUAAGGAAAGAAAGAGAAAGGAAAAACGAAGAGGCCGGUGCUGGUGUUCUGGGUAAGUGAGUGCUCUUCGUUCUCUUUCUUUUCCUUUUCCAAGAGAGUUCAUUUUAUCAUAGGUAAAACACAGUGGUUGUGGUAUUUCCGCAAGGCUCAAGGAGAGACUCCCGAAGCAGGUUCCUGACACCAAGGCAUUUGUGUACUUUACCAGAGUUUCAGCCAUGGUAGGCAAGGCUCUCAAGUCACAUCCUGAUCGUGGGACAGGAAAAAGGUGAUACGUGCAUGAGCGUCUAGAUCAUCUCAAUACUUGACUUAAGGGAACCUGUAUGAGGAACUCAAGGUCAGUGUCCUGCAGGACUGAGAGAGUGGAAAGGGAUUGGGCCGGAACCUGAUUUGGGCUCCAGUCCCUGUGAAGUCAACUACCAGAGACCAAAACAUGGUCUGGUAUUUGGCUCCCCACUUCACCUACGGGGAGCAGCAGUCCCAGCCCCAUUGGCGGAGAGGUCACUGGAGACCUUUUGAAGACAGCCAAGUGCCUCAUGCCUAUUGCUAUCUUUGAUUUGAUUGGAUCUCUCCAUACAUGUUCUUCCCAUUGUCUCCUGAUUUCUCUUGCGUCUAGCUUACUGCACCAUGGCCCUCUGCCAGUUCAGGGAAGCCUUGGGAACAAACUCUUACUGGAAUAUUAAGAGGUUACAUGUGCUGGGGGGUGUUGGCUUCGGGGGAGCAUAUCAUGGCAGUCAACUGUAGAUCUCUCCACGAGCCCUAACUCUUUGACUCUUUUGACAAACCAAGAAACUUAAAAGCAUAGAGUCUUGAGGAAGUGUACUUCAUUCUUCUGGGUGGAAAUGUUGCAUGAGGGCAUGGCCAGAAGCCAGACAUGUUUUCUUUCUUCUUACUCAUGUUCCUUUAAACAAAAAAAAGUGUCAUGAAGAUGAUACUUCCUACUGUGGUUCAAAAUAAUUGAAGGCUUCUGCAGGUGGCCAAGGGACCUUGUAGAAUCAUGCUUAUGCUGGGUUGUAUGCUAGUCUGGUCAAGGUUUCUGCCUUAGCAAAGGACAGAGACAGGGUCCAAGCAGCAAAGGCAAGGAGACACUUUUGUGGGAACCCCACUUUCAACAGGACCUUGUUUGACAACCCUAUGAGCCUUUCGUAGUAAAUCCUGGACACAGCUCAAUGUUUGAGUCAAGUUCUUGCUCUAGGUUCCAGAGAGGAGGAAAGAUGCCACCUGCUGCCCUUAAAAGAAGCGUUGGACCGUGACACUCCCCUCCUUCUCCAGUAUGACUUUCUGUACAAAACCUAGGGACAGGGAAGGAAUAUGCUCCCUGUUACCUGCCAUAGGGGGAAACGGAGCUAAUGGGAACCUUAGGUGUGAUUGAGUGCACAACUCCUGUCUUGUUGGAAUUUAAACAAAGUAGGGGUUGUCUCAAGAAUGGAGAUUUGAGGAGUCGAUACAACAUGAAGCCAUGUGGACAUGCAAACACCUCUGUACCUCUGUACACUCCGACUGCCACGGAAACAGGCAGAAUGCCCAGACAUGGACAAGCAUUUCUCCUAGAGCAUGGGUCUAUAGGACCCCUGCUCAGACCUGGCAGCUCGUUAAGUAUUGCUAUAUACAUCUCAGUAUAACUGAAAGUGGUGUCAGCACACAGAGUAUGAAAAUUACAGUUAGAGACAUUUCAGUGCAAGCUCAGAGAAAAUGAAGCUAGAGUAGAAAGAAAACUAGGUCAUGCCAUUGCUUUUCAAGAUGCAGCAUAUGAUAAAUGGCAGUGCUCAUAUAUGCAGAGAUGGAGGUCUCAUCAAAGUGCUCUGUGUCCUCCCAAUGACUCUAGUCAUUGAGAGUCAACUCCUUCACCAAGUGGAAUUCUGAAGCAUCAACUCACCCAGAUGCCUUCUCUAAGAGCAACCAAGCACUAAGGGGCCAGUAAAGUUCAUUGCCAUGUGUCUGCACCAAACGCCUGAUUGACGACCAUAAAAACAAAGUACAUUUCCAAAGCUAAAACAAGAAUAAGGUAUAUAUCAGAUAGCUCCUCCCUAGCCUACUACCAUGCUGAUAUGAAUAUGAGAGCCGUCAGAAAUUCAAUUUCAGAAGGCAUGACAUGAUUAGGCAUGGCAUGAGAAACACACCUGCCAUCCAUAAUUAGUCAUAGGUGCUAUUAUUCACACGUAUAUCGCAGGAGCACCCGGUGGGUGAAGGGCCGGGUCCACGGGACAAAUCCGUCCUCUACCCAAAGAAGGCGGACGCCACCUUUGACCACACGGCUCCUGCCCAGGGGCAGGCGCAGACCUUGGCGUCUGGCUGCUAGAGGCUUCGGGGUCACGUCAGGCUGGCCCGUCAGGGAGUCCUGACCGAGGAUGCCCGGGUGAGCGUGUGCCCCCGUCGGGCACCGACUGGCUGGAUAGGGGUGGCCCGGGCGCUGGGUCCACGACCAGUGGGUCUCCUGAGGUCUCCUCCUGCAGGCCUCCAGGGGUCGCAGUGGCGCCCCGGAAAGGGCCAGGGCCAGCGCCGGGAGCCUCGGGGAGCCUCGAUGCGCCGGCCUCGCGUUUGCUUUUGGGUCCGAAAGCGGGCUACGUGGAGCCAGAGGGCACAAGGCUCCGCUCCCCGGAGCCUCAGGAGCCGGAGUGCUCCCCCAGGUGGCAGAGACCUGAGAGCCGCCAUGUUGGAGCCCGGGGUGGACAGGGCCCGGCCUUUUUUCCUCGGCAAAGGGCGGAGGGAGAGGACCUGGGGGAAGGGCGCGUGGACAUUCGUGGUGCAAUACUGCCAUCAAGCGGAACUCGUUGGCCAUCCAGGCUUCCUCUGGAGGAGAGGCUGGGAGUGAAGUGGGGAGUCCCGGGCGGGACAGAAGGGGCCGCAGUCCAAAGGUGCCCGGUCCUUUUGGCAGGCUCUCCACCCUGGUCCUUUGGUGACCGGCUGCGAAGCAAGCGUGGCAUCCGGACGCAGACACAAAGGCCACUCCUUGCCAUUGCCCUCAACACUCUCAUGGGACGUUGGAACCAGGUGGCCCAGAGAGUGACCCGUGUCAGUGAAGAUGCCUGGCGGGGGGCGGGGUGGUGGGGUGGGGAGUAGACCACUCCCCAGGCAGACACUUGGACAUACAGUUGUGUGCGAGAUCGAGAUCGGUGGUGCGCGGCCCCCGCCAGAGACCGUGUUAUCCCCGGGCGUUCGCACUGCAGCUGCCCCGGGUGUGUGUGUGUGUGUGUGUGUGUGUGUCGGGCGGCCGCUUCCUGGGCCCAGGCCUGGGUUUGGGGGUCCGUGGCGGGUCUUGUGGGGGGAGGGGUGCAGCGGCGGAGCGAAGGAGGAGGGGGGCUGUCGCCACUUCUACUUUGGCUCGCCCUGGCUUCUGGACUCCGUUCCUCCCCACACCCCGCGGGAGCCACCUGCACGUUCCUCACCCCCCACUCCCCACCCCCCAGGACCAGCUCGAGGUCCCUGGACACCGGCUAGGCAGGGCCCCACACCUGAGCCUCACGGUGGGACACAGGGACAUCAGGGUCCCGCCUCCUCCCCCAAGGCCAAGUGGCAGCAGCCCUCCCAGUGCCCGUGCCGUGCCGUGCCGUGCCGUGCCUGUCUCGUGCAGGGCUUCUAGCCUCCGCCUGCCCUCCCCACCCCGGCCCCGCCGGGCCGAUCCUGCUCUUGCUCCCAA